CCUCCCUUUGUCUCCUGGCCCCGCCCACAUCUCCACUUGCCCUCUUUCCUUCAUCUCCCAGCGUUUUUUUGGGUGUUUGUUUGUUUGUUUGUUUGUUUUGCCUCCGUUGGCCUUGCUCUCUUCAUCCCAGGGGGUGCUCUGAUCUAGCCACUGCACAAGCUUCAUGAUAGAGUGAGCCCACCCUUGCCUUAAGGAGAUAAGGGAGUGACAGAUCCUGGGAAGGAAAAUUGGACAUCAUUCACAAAGCCAGAGGCUAAGGCAG
rnacentral:lncRNA from 1 species